CGCAAUAUGCGAUGGCUGUUUCAGUCAUCAGGUCUCAACCCAAUUCAACACUUAUGGAAGAUUCUGGAGAAGCGCCAUCAACAAAACACCAAAUGGUGGAAUUUCUUGUGGAAGAAUGUCACAUCCUUCGAAUAGAGUUCUAGACACUUGUAGAAUAUAUGCCAAGGAGCACUAUAAAGAGAGAGGGAGUGGGAGAGAGAACAGGCAGAACCUGAUAUGUAAAUGAGUAAAGCAAAUGAAAGGAACUUUCGACGACCAAAUGAUCAUUCCAGACUCUGCUUCUGUUGAGAGAGAUAAAAGGUGCCUUUUGGCAAACUCCAAGCGGGCUGUCAUGUGCAUUUUACUGAGGAGUUGCUUCCAUCUGGCCACUCUACCAUAAAGGCCUGCUUGGGGGAGUGCUGCAUCUCCACAGAAGUUGUCUGGACCUCAUGGCCUGGUUUUGCUCUGACUUGCACUGUCAACUGUGGAACCUUAUAUAGACAGGGGUCAGUGCUCUAAAAUGAGUCUCUCAUUGGAACAUGACACCACAGCUAAGAGUUUCACCACAAUACCUACCUGUUUCAAUACAUGGAGGCAAUAUCCCUGAUGUUACCCGUGCACAUACAGAUCUCCUGCUUUUAGGUAGGUUAUACUUAAUGUCUCUCUCACACACAUUCACCCUUAACCAAACAAAAAGUUUUCACUUUGGGUUCAUGAUUAAUCUUCUUUUGCCAAAUAAUUUAUAAACAUAGCAAACAAAGUUGGUGAUAAGGCGUCGCCUAUCUGUACGAUAUUCAUUAACACGCACACAAGCAAUUGGUACUGUAACGGCAUUCUUCCUGGGAAGGAGAGGAGGACCAAAAUGCAGCGUGGUUAAAGUUCAUGGUUCUUUAAUAAGAGAAACUAAACAUGAACAAAAUAGAAAACAAUAAACGUGGCAAAACCGAAACAGUCCUAUCUGGUGCAGAGAACACAAAGACAGGAAACAACCACCCACAAAACCCAACACAAAACAGGCUACCUAAAUAUGGUUCCCAAUCAGAGACAAUGACUAAUACCUGCCUCUGAUUGAGAACCAUAUCAGGCCAUACAUAGAAAUAGACAAACUAGACACACAACAUAGAAUGCCCACCCAGCUCACGUCCUGACCAACACUAAAACAAGGAAAACACACAAGAACUAUGGUCAGAACGUGGCAGGUUUUUUGUAAAGAGACUGGAUUGCGUGAUACAAUUUCCCAUCAACGCCUGUAUUUAACAAACUAUAGGCUAAAAUAUCCUUAAACAAGUUAAAGGAAAUGCUACCAAAUACUAAUUGAGUGUAUGUUAACUUCUGACCUAUUGGGAAUGUGAUGAAAGAAAUAAAAGCUGAAAUCAAUCAUUCUCUCUACUAUUAUUCUGACAUUUAACAUUCUUAAAAUAAAGUGGUGUUCCUAACUGACGUAAGACAGGGAAUUUUUACGAGGAUUAAAUGUCAGGAAUUGUGAAAAAAUGUGUUUAAAUGUAUUUGGCUAAGGUGUAUGUAAACUUCCGACUUCAACUGUAUAAGAAUGUUCUAAAACUGUAUUGUCCAGUUUAGUUCUCAUGGAACAUAUAUCUUUAUAAAAGUUAUUCUUCAAAAUAUGCCGCAUUUUUGUUACCUGAGAACAAACUAGCAAACCCCUUCUCCCACUCCUUAAGAACCUGUGUAAUAUCAGAGUUCAGCCCCCCUGCUCUUCCCUGACUUCCAUUGGAAUUUUCUUACGUCGUUUUGGUCCUAACUUGUUUAUUUGGCUUCAAAACUGUUGAGGAUUUCUUGUCUGUAUCUCCUUAAAGUGUAGUAACUGCUCUCUCUGAUAUCUCCAUUUGAAUAGGAGCAGUCUUUUAUCAAACAUAUGCUGUUGUUUCUUAAAUUCAUUCCUAAAAUGUUCUCUUAUAUUCCUAUCUUUACACUGUAAUAAGUACACAGCCUUGCGCAAUACUGACCAUAGACCCCUAACUCAUCAUUCCAGUAAGGCGUGUUCGGCUUGUAAACUUUCCUGGACUUCGGGGCGUAUUCUUUAUUCGCAUCGUUGUUCCCCAUUUCAGAAUAUAUGAUAUCACAAAAUGUUUCAUAUCACACAUAUACAUUUAGAGGCGGCAGGUAGCCUAACUGUUAGAGCGUUGGGCCAGUAACCGAAAGGUUGCUGUUUCGAAUACCCGAGACGACAAUGUGAAAAAACCUGUUGAGGUGUCCUUGAGCAAGGCACUUAACCAUCAUUUUCUCCAGGGGCGCCGUACUACUAUGUCUGACCUGUAAGUAGGCUGUCAAUGUAAAUAAUAAUUUGUUCUUAUCUGACUUGCCUCUGUAAAUAAAAGUUUUUAAAAAUCAAA
ensembl:lncRNA